UACGUAGGGGGCAAGCGUUGUCCGGAUUUAUUGGGCGUAAAGGGCGCGUAGGCGGCCCGCUAAGUCGAACGUGAAAUCCCCGAGCUCAACUCGGGAACUGCGUCCGAUACUGGCGGGCUUGAAUCCGGGAGAGGGAUGCGGAAUUCCAGGUGUAGCGGUGAAAUGCGUAGAUAUCUGGAGGAACACCGGUGGCGAAGGCGGCAUCCUGGACCGGCAUUGACGCUGAGGCGCGAAAGCUAGGGGAGCAAACGGG
rnacentral:rRNA from 1 species